rnacentral:misc_RNA from 1 species
AACGGUCUAUACCUGCGGUACCUGCGGAAGGAUCAUUAAUGAAACAUUUGUCGAGAGGGGUUGUAGCUGGCCUCCACCCGGGGGCAAGAAGGUGCACGCCCUGAUCGCAAAUCUUUCCCUACCUCACACACCUGUGCACGACCUGCAGCUUGGGAUGCUAACGGGGGGGGGAGGGUUUUUCCUCCUCUCGGACUCCGGAUGCCCUCGCUGUGAAUUUUUUUCACACACACAUUCAAAUGU